CUAAUGGGAAGGGUGCAGCGGGGAGAGCUGUGCUGGAUGCCAAUUCAUAUGUUGAUACUCGUUGAUUGAUACUAGUGUUUCAAACUUACUUUCUUCAUUGUUAUUUCCAACUAAUGGAAUAUUUCUGAAGUUAAGUUUUUUUUAAUGUAGAUUUUGUUGGGGUGACAUGGGGGCUUAGUUGCCCUGUUGCCUCUUCUGCUCUGUGUGUCGAGUUUUCGUGUUGCUCUUAUGUUGUGCUGGUUUCCUCCAGUAGUCCAAAGACAUGCAGUUAGGCUUGUUGGUGUUUCUAAAUAUAGACUAUGAUUGUUUGUUUGUGUGUGUGUGUGUGUGUGUGUGUGCGUGCGUGCGUGCGUGCGUGUGUGUGUGUGUAUACACAGCAGAGUGUACCCCCAGAAUCCUUCUGUUACCUUAACCAAGAUAAGCACUUAGAACAUUGAUAGAUUGCUGAGUUUAUUUCUUAGCAAUAAACGUCUGGAGAGCUAUGACGCUGUGUAUUGCUGCAUUUUAUUAUACAAUAAGUUAACCCAUCAAUUCACUGGAAAUUUAAGACUGUACGCAUAAAUACUGAAACCAGCCAGGAGUCAUGCUCUGUUAUUGAUAUGUUUUAUGGUCUUAUUGAAAUCUUAUCAUCUAUACAUCCAUCUCUAAACUGUUUAUCCUGGACAGGGUUGCGGGAGAGUCGGGACAAAACCCAUCGCAGACAAAACAGAACAUAAAACAGGAGUAAGUUAUGCCCUCUCUGGGAAAAGGAUUUUUUCAGCCAAAUUACCAUUUAAACUUUUGCUACACUGGUGAAUGUUAAAUGGGGAAAACCUUUCAAAUUAAACACAUUUCUUAAGGGAUAAAGAAUUAUUCAAGCUGUCACUGCAAGGAAUGAAAACUGUUUAAAGGAAGACUCAUAAAAUGACCGGAAUUUACACUGACUCUGAAACUGGAAGGAACAGAGAUACAGAAGAAAGUUACACAGCUUUGUGCAUUAUGAGUACGUGUGUGAAGGAAUCAUUUCCUGGAUCUGCUGGAGCGCCGCUGAUGGUCCUUCCAUUUCCCGGAAUAUUCCUGAGCUCUGAACUUACAACUCGAUAGGACAGGUGCUUCAGCUGUGUCAAUGCACCACAGGUCGCAAUGAAGAAAAGAGGCACAAGGUCACUUCACCACCAUCUUUCACCACCACCAGACCCAAAAGCAGUCCUACUGUUACCAUGGCAGCAUGUAAAAAUGGAGGGAUCAGGUGAUUUAUACCCUGUGCUGUAUUGGGCGUAGCCAGCUAAACCGCACGGUAUUACUGACAGGUGAAGAUCCGCCUGUAUGUCUUGCAUGUAUCCCCACUUUGACUAUUAAGCACGUUUUGUUCCAUUGUCCUUCUCUAAGCUCCUUUUGCUGUAUUUAUCAUUUUCCUGACUUUUUUGACAGGUUUUAGUAAAAUCGAGCCAGAA